AGCGAACGCUGGCGGCAGGCCUAACACAUGCAAGUCGAACGAACCUUUCGGGGUUAGUGGCGGACGGGUGAGUAACACGUGGGAACGUGCCUUUAGGUUCGGAAUAACUCAGGGAAACUUGUGCUAAUACCGAAUGUGCCCUUCGGGGGAAAGAUUAAUCGCCUUUAGAGCGGCCCGAGUCGGAUUAGCUAGUUGGGUGAGGUAAUGGCUCACCAAGGCGACGAUCAGUAGCUGGUCUGAGAGGAUGACCAGCAACAUUGGGAGUGAGACACGGCCGAAACUCCUGCGGGAGGAAGGAGGGGGGAAUCUUGCGCAAUGGGCGAAAGCCUGACGCAGCCAUGCCGUGUGAAUGAGGAGGGUCUUAGGAUUGUAAAAUUCUUUCGCCGGGGACGAUAAUGACGGUACCCGAAGAAGAAGCCCCGGCUAACUUCGUG
rnacentral:rRNA from 1 species